rnacentral:rRNA from 1 species
AGAGUUUGAUCCUGGCUCAGGAUGAACGCUGGCGGCGUGCCUAACACAUGCAAGUCGAACGAAGCACCUUUUGAGAUUCUUUGGAUGAUUGAUUGGUGACUGAGUGGCGGACGGGUGAGUAACGCGUGGGUAACCUGCCCUGUACAGGGGGAUAACAGCUGGAAACGGCUGCUAAUACCGCAUAAGCGCACGAGGAGACAUCUCCUUGUGUGAAAAACUCCGGUGGUACAGGAUGGGCCCGCGUCUGAUUAGCUGGUUGGCAGGGUAACGGCCUACCAAGGCAACGAUCAGUAGCCGGUCUGAGAGGAUGAACGGCCACAUUGGAACUGAGACACGGUCCAAACUCCUACGGGAGGCAGCAGUGGGGAAUAUUGCACAAUGGGGGAAACCCUGAUGCAGCGACGCCGCGUGAGUGAAGAAGUAUUUCGGUAUGUAAAGCUCUAUCAGCAGGGAAGAUAAUGACGGUACCUGACUAAGAAGCUCCGGCUAAAUACGUGCCAGCAGCCGCGGUAAUACGUAUGGAGCAAGCGUUAUCCGGAUUUACUGGGUGUAAAGGGUGCGUAGGUGGCAGUGCAAGUCAGAUGUGAAAGGCCGGGGCUCAACCCCGGAGCUGCAUUUGAAACUGCUCGGCUAGAGUACAGGAGAGGCAGGCGGAAUUCCUAGUGUAGCGGUGAAAUGCGUAGAUAUUAGGAGGAACACCAGUGGCGAAGGCGGCCUGCUGGACUGUUACUGACACUGAGGCACGAAAGCGUGGGGAGCAAACAGGAUUAGAUACCCUGGUAGUCCACGCCGUAAACGAUGAUU